rnacentral:rRNA from 1 species
GACGGAGGGUGCUAGCGUUGUUCGGAAUUACUGGGCGUAAAGGGCGCGUAGGCGGCUUUGCAAGUCGGGUGUGAAAUCCCCAGGCUUAACCUGGGAACUGCAUUCGAGACUGCAUUGCUAGAGUAUGGGAGAGGGAAGUGGAAUUUCCGGUGUAGCGGUGAAAUGCGUAGAUAUCGGAAGGAACAUCAGUGGCGAAAGCGACUUCCUGGACCAAUACUGACGCUCAUGUGCGAAAGCGUGGGGAGCAAACAGG